UACAGAGGUCUCAAGCGUUGUUCGGAUUCAUUGGGCGUAAAGGGUGCGUAGGAGGGCAGGUAAGUCAGUGGUGAAAUCCCCGAGCUUAACUUGGGAACUGCCGUUGAUACUAUCUGUCUUGAAUAUUGUGGAGGUAAGCGGAAUAUGUCAUGUAGCGGUGAAAUGCUUAGAUAUGACAUAGAACACCAAUUGCGAAGGCAGCUUGCUACACAAUCAUUGACUCUGAUGCACGAAAGCGUGGGAUCAAACAGG
rnacentral:rRNA from 1 species